ensembl:lncRNA
GACUCAGUCUGGAAGACCCUGUGCAGCAGCCCACCGGGCCUCUGCAGACUCCAGGCUGCAGAAUGACGGACACCACCGUCAAAUCUGUGCGCAGCCUCAACAACCUGCACAGCCUGGACCUUUCUCUUUGCAACAAGAUCUGAUUGAAGGUUCCUCAUCCACCAAACCGAGAGAGCUGCAGUCUCAUCACAGACACAUCUGUAAUGAGGAUUGCGCAAAGUUAUUGUGAGGGACUGACUGAUGAGAGUGUCGAGUGGUUGAGUGGCAGCUCCGUCGGCUCUCUCGACACGAGCGGUUGCAACGUCAUGGAUCA